GACGGGCUGAUCGCGGCGAGCUCGGUGAGCAGAGCUCAAGCCUAUUAGGAUUCGGGAGCUGGGUUUUCUCUCGAUGGAUGGAUGGAUGGCCAUUGUGAAUUUCUACGGCCGAUUGGAUUUGCCUGCCCAAUUGUGGCUCAGGUGUACAAAUGGAGGCUCCUUCAUUGUUUGCCGGAACAACACAGAAGGAGGAUUCUAGGAUGCUGCAAAGGAUAAAGAUUGUAGGAA
rnacentral:lncRNA from 1 species